UGUAGUAUAGCUCAGUGGUAGUGCUUGUGCUGAGCAUGCACAAGGUCCUGGGUUCAAUCCCCAGUACCUCCA
rnacentral:tRNA from 1 species